rnacentral:misc_RNA from 1 species
UGGUUAGAGCGCGCGCUUGAUAAGCGUGAGGUCGGAAGUUCAAGUCUUCCCAGGCCCACCACUUUCAUCGAGCGAGCAUUCGUCUUCUGGUUACGGGGCCAUAGCUCAGCUGGGAGAGCGCGUGCUUUGCAAGCAUGAGGUCGUCGGUUCGAUCCCGUCUGGCUCCACCAGAUGGUUUGAAUGACCGGCGCGUCGUGCACCGAUAAUCGUCCGCGAAACAUCACUUCGCACCCACUAGUCCGGAUGGACAGUGAGUUGCGUGAUUUCUGACAUCGUAAAGAGGAGAUCGAUCCGAGUUGGAUCGUGCAGCAAUUGUUGCGCGAUACUUCAUUAUCUCCGGAUCAUUUCGGCGCUUGCGCGCCUUUCAGUGUAGCUCACAAGGCUGCGUCUGAAGGACGGGCGAGUUGUAAAUGAUCCUUUUAGCGAAGCUUGACCGCCUCGCUAUCGGAACGAUCUUACGAAGCAAGCUGGUCUUUCUAAUCAAUGUCCGGCUGCACAUAGCGUUCAUCGAGGGCGCGUGCCGCAGAGAUUUCGGUCUCUUGGCAAUUGUGCAGGCAACAUUCUGCCGAGUGUGUGGACAUUGAUAAUGAGAGCAAUCAAGUGCCUUAAGGGUGUUCGGUGGAUGCCUUGGCGCUGAGAGGCGAUGAAGGACGUGCUACGCUGCGAUAAGCCGUGGGGAGCUGCGAAGAAGCUUUGAUCCAUGGAUUUCC